GAUGCCACCUGGCGACAGGAGCGAAUCCCAAACCACGUCUCAGUUCGGAUCGGAGUCUGCAACCCGACUCCGUGAAGCUGGAUUCGCUAGUAAUCGCGCAUCAGCCAUGGCGCGGUGAAUACGUUCCCGGGCCUUGUACACACCGCCCGUCAAGCCAUGGGAGCCGGGGGUACCUGAAGUCCGUAACCGCGAGGAUCGGCCUAGGGUAAAACUGGUGACUGGGGCUAAGUCGUAACAAGGUACC
rnacentral:rRNA from 1 species